UCGUAACAAGGUCUCCGUUGGUGAACCAGCGGAGGGAUCAUUACCGAGUUUACAACUCCCAAACCCAAUGUGAACGUUACCAAACUGUUGCCUCGGCGGGGUCACGCCCCGGGUGCGUCGCAGCCCCGGAACCAGGCGCCCGCCGGAGGAACCAACCAAACUCUUUCUGUAGUCCCCUCGCGGACGUAUUUCUUACAGCUCUGAGCAAAAAUUCAAAAUGAAUCAAAACUUUCAACAACGGAUCUCUUGGUUCUGGCAUCGAUGAAGAACGCAGCGAAAUGCGAUAAGUAAUGUGAAUUGCAGAAUUCAGUGAAUCAUCGAAUCUUUGAACGCACAUUGCGCCCGCCAGUAUUCUGGCGGGCAUGCCUGUCCGAGCGUCAUUUCAACCCUCGAACCCCUCCGGGGGAUCGGCGUUGGGGAUCGGGACCCCUCACACGGGUGCCGGCCCCGAAAUACAGUGGCGGUCUCGCCGCAGCCUCUCCUGCGCAGUAGUUUGCACAACUCGCACCGGGAGCGCGGCGCGUCCACGUCCGUAAAACACCCAACUUUCUGAAAUGUUGACCUCGGAUCAGGUAGGAAUACCCGCUGAACUUAAGCAUA
rnacentral:rRNA from 1 species